GAUGAACGCUGGCGGCGUGCCUAAUACAUGCAAGUCGAGCGAACAGACGAGGAGCUUGCUCCUCUGACGUUAGCGGCGGACGGGUGAGUAACACGUGGAUAACCUACCUAUAAGACUGGGAUAACUUCGGGAAACCGGAGCUAAUACCGGAUAAUAUAUUGAACCGCAUGGUUCAAUAGUGAAAGACGGUUUUGCUGUCACUUAUAGAUGGAUCCGCGCCGCAUUAGCUAGUUGGUAAGGUAACGGCUUACUAAGGCAACGAUGCGUAGCCGACCUGAGAGGGUGGUCGGCCACACUGGAACUGAGACACGGUCCAGACUCCUACGGGAGGCAGCAGUAGGGAAUCUUCCGCAAUGGGCGAAAGCCUGACGGAGCAACGCCGCGUGAGUGAUGAAGGUCUUCGGAUCGUAAAACUCUGUUAUUAGGGAAGAACAAAUGUGUAAGUAACUAUGCACGUCUUGACGGUACCUAAUCAGAAAGCCACGGCUAACUACGUG
rnacentral:rRNA from 1 species